rnacentral:rRNA from 1 species
AUUGAACGCUGGCGGCAGGCUUUACACAUGCAAGUCGAACGAGUGGCGGACGGGUGAGUAAUGUAUGGGAACGUGCCCGAUGGCGGGGGAUAACUACUGGAAACGGUAGCUAAUACCGCAUACUAUCGGAUCUGCCCAUAUGGGAUUAGCUAGUUGGUGGGUUAAAGGCUCACCCAGGCGACGAUCCCUAGCUGGUCUGAGAGGAGGAACAGCCACACUGGAACGGAGACACGGUCCAGACUCCGACGGGAGGCAGACGGUGGGAAUAUUGCACAAUGGGCGCAAGCCUGAUGCAGCCAUGCCGCGUGUAUGAAGAAGGCCUUCGGGUUGUAAAGUACUUUCAGCGGGGAGGCGUUACCCGCAGAAGAAGCAACGGCUAACUCCGUGCCAGCAGCCGCGGUAAUUC